CUCACCUUGCCGAAAUUCGAGAGACCACCGAUUUGAGGCACUUGACCGGGUUCAUCCGCCGUGCUGCAGUCUGCCCUAACGAACCAACAGGGCCAACUGCACCGAGUCAAGAUGCUGCGAUGAACAGGGUACAUACGCCGACCAGAACUGUAACAGUAAAACGAAAAUACGUUUCAGUAAGAAGAUAGGAGCGCGACGUAUCGAUAUGGAAUCGCAAUAUGACCGCCGAUAUAAAUCGAUAGUGCGGUCGAACGCAGUCGACUACACUACAGUUGGUGUUUCGCGCCAAGGUUAGCAUCAAGCACUCGAAAUUACUUCGUAUAUUUUUCGCUAUUUUAUACGUGAAGAACGACUCGUGGUUGAAAACCAGCAUCGGAAAGUUCGAUUGCAGAUUCAA